rnacentral:rRNA from 1 species
UACGUAGGGGGCAAGCGUUAUCCGGAUUUACUGGGCGUAAAGAGCGUGUAGGCGGCCAAGCAGGUCCGUUGUGAAAACUGGAGGCUUAACCUCCAGACGUCGACGGAAACCGCGCGGCUAGAGUCCGGAAGAGGAGAGUGGAAUUCCUGGUGUAGCGGUGAAAUGCGCAGAUAUCAGGAAGAACACCCGUGGCGAAAGCGGCUCUCUGGAACGGUACUGACGCUGAGACGCGAAAGCGUGGGGAGCGAGCAGG